GAUGAAGAACGCAGCGAAAUGCGAUAAGUAAUGUGAAUUGCAGAAUUCAGUGAAUCAUCGAAUCUUUGAACGCACCUUGCACCCUUUGGCUAUUCCGAAGGGUAUGCCUGUUUGAGUAUCAUGAACACCUCAACUCUCAUGGUUUGCCAUGAUGAGCUUGGACUUUGGGGGUCUUGCUGGCCUGUGGUCAGCUCCUCUCAAAUGGAUUAGCUUGCCAGUGUUUGGUGGUAUCACAGGUGUGAUAACUAUCUACGCUUGUGGUUUUCCACCAGGUAACCUUCAGCAAUGGGGGUUCGCUGGGGCUCAUAAAUGUCUCUCCUCAGUGAGGACAGCUCUUUGAUCGUUUGAUCUCAAAUCAGGUAGGACUACCCGCUGAACUUAAGCAUAUCAAUAAGCGGAGGA
rnacentral:misc_RNA from 1 species